rnacentral:rRNA from 1 species
GACGAACGCUGGCGGCGUGCUUAACACAUGCGAGUCGAACGGAAAGGCCCUGCUUUUGUGGGGUGCUCGAGUGGCGAACGGGUGAGUAACACGUGAGUAACCUGCCCUUGACUUUGGGAUAACUUCAGGAAACUGGGGCUAAUACCGGAUAGGAGCUCCUGCUGCAUGGUGGGGGUUGGAAAGUUUCGGCGGUUGGGGAUGGACUCGCGGCUUAUCAGCUUGUUGGUGGGGUAGUGGCUUACCAAGGCUUUGACGGGUAGCCGGCCUGAGAGGGUGACCGGCCACAUUGGGACUGAGAUACGGCCCAGACUCCUACGGGAGGCAGCAGUGGGGAAUAUUGCACAAUGGGCGGAAGCCUGAUGCAGCAACGCCGCGUGCGGGAUGACGGCCUUCGGGUUGUAAACCGCUUUCGCCUGUGACCAAGCGUGAGUGACGGUAAUGGGUAAAGAAGCACCGGCUAACUACGUG